GACGAACGCUGGCGGCGUGCCUAAUACAUGCAAGUCGAGCGAAUUGAUGGGAGCUUGCUCCCUGAUAUUAGCGGCGGACGGGUGAGUAACACGUGGGUAACCUGCCUGUAAGAUUGGGAUAACUCCGGGAAACCGGGGCUAAUACCGGAUAAUACUUUUAACCGCAUGGUUGAAAGUUGAAAGAUGGUUUCGGCUAUCACUUACAGAUGGACCCGCGGCGCAUUAGCUAGUUGGUGAGGUAACGGCUCACCAAGGCAACGAUGCGUAGCCGACCUGAGAGGGUGAUCGGCCACACUGGGACUGAGACACGGCCCAGACUCCUACGGGAGGCAGCAGUAGGGAAUCUUCCGCAAUGGACGAAAGUCUGACGGAGCAACGCCGCGUGAACGAUGAAGGCCUUCGGGUCGUAAAGUUCUGUUGUUAGGGAAGAAUAAGUACCAGAGUAACUGCUGGUACCUUGACGGUACCUAACCAGAAAGCCACGGCUAACUACGUGCCAGCAGCCGCAGUAAUAC
rnacentral:rRNA from 1 species